GCUGAUGCUGCUGGUCCUAGGACCACACUUUGAAAAAUGCUGGUGUAAAGGAAAGAACCCCUGGUCUUCAGAUCCCAGAGAUUUCGGAAAUCGAAGCUAAGAAAUCCAGUUCCAUUUGAACAUUGCAUUACCCGCCCACCUAAUGGUUUCGGUAUGAUCUGUCCUCUGUGCUCAGUGCUCAGCGAGUUUCAAUCCUUGUUUUCCCUGCCAGAGGGUCAGAACUCUACCCUGGGCUUUGUGCUUUAACCCCGAUCCACUUGAGAGAAUGGGGCUAGCAGUCUGGGUUGCAUGGUUUGCUCUCCCUGCACUCCCACGGUCCCAUCACCUCCAAGAGUCUGCAUGAAACAAAACAUAGUCACCUCAACUGAGGGUUUCCUAGACCAGCCAGACCGCAGCGGACGCACCAGCUCACCAGCAAUGCAUGUGAGUCAGUCUUGUCCAGAUGAGCUGAGCCAAGCCUACUUCAGGCCAUCCAACUUGCUGGCUUCAGAGAAAAAAGAGAUGCUUGUUGUUGAAAUCAUUGACAUUUAUUGACCAUAUACGAUGUGCCAACAAUUGCUAAAUGCAGAGAACACAAAGAUGAACAAAAUAGGAUCCCUGCCCUUGAAUGUGUUGGAAGCGUUCACAAUGAGAUUAAGAUGGGAAAAUAUUAUAGUAUCUAGUUCAUGGAGGGGAAAAACUGCAACACUGUGGCUGUGCUAAAGGCAGAUUCCCAGGCCUUGGUCAUCCCUGAUCCAACCAUUUCUUCAGAGGAAAAUUGGUAAUCAGUGGAAAAACAGAAAAAAACAAAACAAAACAAAACAAAGCCACUUCCUUUCUGAUCUCCACUUUUCCCUUCAAAUUCUUUUGUUAAAGAAGCAUUUGCAUGUGUUUGGCAAUCUGGAAGUUUUGGAGGAAGGAUAGAAAUGCACAAGGUAUCAAUAACAUUGCACAGGUUCAAGGUCAGUGCUCAUCAAUUAAAAUGCAAUUAUAAUUUCAAGUUAUAGUAUCCCUCCUCAGAUGAUAAUCUGAUCCACUGGACUUUAAACUCCUGAGCUUUGAGACUGUGUUCUACUCAAGAUUGUAUUGCAGUACCUAGCACGUAAAUGAGUAGUCUACACAAUUAGGUAUAUAAUUUGCUUUUGCUUUAAGAGAACCAUUUCU